CGGUAUGUUACGUCUGAGAUUAGUUUUUAACAGACACUGCGGCUUCUGUUUUGGUUUCUCUUGCUCUCUUUCUCUGGGAGCAUUUGCCCUUGGGAAAGCCAGCUGCCACGUCCCUAGCAGCCUGAUGGGGAGGCCCCACUGGCAAGGAACUGAGGGCUGCUGUGGGCGACAGCUCUGUGCAGUGAGCUUGGAAGUGGAUCCAGCCCAGCCUUCAGAUGACUGCAGUCUUAGCCAGCAACCUGAUGGCAACUGCGUGAGCGAUGCUGAGCCACAGCCACCCAGCUAAGCUGCUCCUGGACUCCUGACCCUCGGAAACUGGGAAAUAAUAAAUGUUUGCUAUCAUAAGCUGCUACACUUCGGGAGUAGUUACACAGGGUCAGAUAAAUAAUACAUACUCUUUGAAUAUUGAAUUUUAAAAUAUAAAUGAGAAAAUAUUCAGAGGUAAAAGAAGGCAAUCUGGGUUGGAGGCAGGCCAGUUGGAGUAGAAGCAUGGGCUGUGGCACAGUGGUGACCCCCGUGGGACAGGACGACCCAGGGCUCUGGGAGGAGGGGAGGCGUGGGUGCAGGGGGAGGAGGGCAGCCUAGGAUGCUGUCGGUGAGGCUGCAGGGCUGCUGUGGCCCGCAUGAGGGCGCCCCACACUGCCACAUCCAGCUGGGGGCGGGGUGGCAGGAACAGAGGAAGACCCGGAGGGGCCUUCUGCUGGGCCAGCAGGAAGGAGGGGUCCUGACUGCUUGCAGACUGGCCCCUAUCUCCAAGUUUCUCGUGUGUCCAAGCCUUGAAGAGGGCCUAGCCUGGCACUGGCACAUGGCAGGCACGUAGCGAUGACCACUGUGACGUUCCCCAGAGCCCACGUGCAUGCACACGUGCUGGGUGCCAGGACUGAGUGCCCUCCAGGCACAGAUACAGGAAUUUCUCUGAAGAUGAAACAUAUUUGCAAAAGUAAAAAGCAUCAGUAAAACAGCAACUAUCUGUGAAUGGACAAAAGACUCAAAAGGGCAACUGACAAAGAAACUUGGCUACUUCUGUACAACACUUCAAGAUAACAAUUGGAAUUACGACCAUAACCAGGACAGAUCAGAAUUUUAGGAACGCUAUAUAAUGUUAAGACACAUAUAUCAAUAAC
rnacentral:lncRNA from 1 species